AAAGUAGCAAUACUUUGGUGGCGACCGGCGCACGGGUGAGUAACGCGUAUGCAACCCAUUUAUCAGAGGGGAAUAACCCGGCGAAAGUCGGACUAAUACCGCAUAAAACAGGGACACCGCAUGGUGAUAUUUGUUAAAGAAAUUCGCUGAUAGAUGGGCAUGCGUUCCAUUAGGUAGUUGGUGAGGUAACGGCUCACCAAGCCGACGAUGGAUAGGGGAACUGAGAGGUUGGUCCCCCACACUGGUACUGAGACACGGACCAGACUCCUACGGGAGGCAGCAGUGAGGAAUAUUGGUCAAUGGGCGAGAGCCUGAACCAGCCAAGUCGCGUGAAGGAAGAAGGAUCUAUGGUUCGUAAACUUCUUUUGCAGGGGAAUAAAGUGCAGGACGUGUCCUGUUUUGUAUGUACCCUGAGAAUAAGGAUCGGCUAACUCCGUGCCAGCAGCCGCGGUAAUACGGAGGAUCCGAGCGUUAUCCGGAUUUAUUGGGUUUAAAGGGUGCGUAGGUGGUUUGAUAAGUCAGCGGUGAAAGUUUGCAGCUUAACUGUAAAAAUGCCGUUGAAACUGUCGGACUUGAGUGUAAAUGAGGUAGGCGGAAUGCGUGGUGUAGCGGUGAAAUGCUUAGAUAUCACGAAGAACUCCGAUUG
rnacentral:rRNA from 1 species